rnacentral:sRNA from 1 species
GUGAGUCACCAAGGAAGGCAGCGGCAGCUCCACUCAGCCAGUACCCAGAUACGCUGGGAACCUUCCCCAGCCAUGGCUUCCCUGGGGCAGAUCCUCUUCUGGAGCAUAAUUAGCAUCAUCAUUAUUCUGGCUGGAGCAAUUGCACUCAUCAUUGGCUUUGGUAUUUCAGAAGUCUCUGUCUGGCUUUCAGCAAUGAAGGGUUUGGUUGUAGAAGUUCCAAGGCUUCCCUUAGCAUUGAUCUUUGCUUCCUGAACUGCAGGGAGACACUCCAUCACAGUCACUACUGUCGCCUCAGCUGGGAACAUUGGGGAGGAUGGAAUCCUGAGCUGCACUUUUGAACCUGACAUCAAACUUUCUGAUAUCGUGAUACAAUGGCUGAAGGAAGGUGUUUUAGGCUUGGUCCAUGAGUUCAAAGAAGGCAAAGAUGAGCUGUCGGAGCAGGAUGAAAUGUUCAGAGGCCGGACAGCAGUGUUUGCUGAUCAAGUGAUAGUUGGCAAUGCCUCUUUGCGGCUGAAAAACGUGCAACUCACAGAUGCUGGCACCUACAAAUGUUAUAUCAUCACUUCUAAAGGCAAGGGGAAUGCUAACCUUGAGUAUAAAACUGGAGCCUUCAGCAUGCCGGAAGUGAAUGUGGACUAUAAUGCCAGCUCAGAGACCUUGCGGUGUGAGGCUCCCCGAUGGUUCCCCCAGCCCACAGUGGUCUGGGCAUCCCAAAUUGACCAGGGAGCCAACUUCUCGGAAGUCUCCAAUACCAGCUUUGAGCUGAAC